UGAAGCAAAGGAUAUGCAUGGGGUGGAAGGACGGCUUCGAACCUGGGACUCAGAUGCCUUGAGAACAAAUAGAUUGUUACAGCCUUGGGCUGCUGCGUAAUCACAGUUCCUCGAGGCUCUUCCUGAGCACAUGCCCAAGCAUCUGCCUCUGGAGAGACUGACUCCAAAUGCAGGUGCUUCCAUUGGAGCUAGGUCGGAGGCUGCUUUAUAUGACGAACUCCAGAAAUGGAUGCCAGAAUACGGAGGCCAAACCUUCUGAGUCUUGGACUGAGCAGCACCUACUUGUGGUCUGGACAGCUUAACCCAGAGUUCUUGGAAGAAUAAAUGCUGCUAGCAUCUGGUUAAUUUACUGGCAGACAGAAGCCUACUUACAGUGGCUUUCAACUUUUUGACCACAUCUUUACUGUGGAAUCUCAUCAAAGACUUGGAAGGAGGGGUGGUGAGAGGGGCGUGGGGGGUGGUGUGGAGGGUCGAGUUCUCUGUCGUCCCACAGUCACCCCCAGGACCACCUUGCGAAGCCGAAAAUACACACCUGCAUUUUACCGACAAGGAACGCCACUCAGAAAGCUGCAGACAUUUGCCUGGGGUCACGCUUACAGUGGGCAGAUGAACUGGAUGUAAAUACAGGAGCGGCAGAGAGGACAGGCAUGGAAAGGAGGCCUGUCUCCCACGGAGAACUCCUCUAGUGCCAGCAGACACGCAUGGUGGAACACGUGUGAGCAGGACAGGAGGGCCAUCUCUCUGGAACGCCGGCCCGCGCCCACGCGCUGACCGCCAGCAGCGGAGAGAGGGGCCAGGCAGAUGGAGCACUCGUGGGUCUCCCGGCGCAGAGCCUGCGGCACACAGGACGGGAAGAGGCCACGCGGCUCCCUGCAGGAAGCGUGCCCUGCAGCAGGCGCGAACCACCCGAGCGGCCUCCACGUGCACCUAGACAGGCGCGGGGGCUGGGUGCUCACACCUGGGCCCUUGCACCUGUGUCUGCCCAGAGGGGCUGGUCAGCACACCCUUUACAAUGAAGGCUCACAAAGUACACAACUCCAAGUGCCAGUCCAUGAAAGCAGUUCACAUAGACUUUUAAUGCAGUUGAGUCUAAUUUAUAUUUUACUAUCCACUUACCCUAUGUAACCAAAUAUCAUUUUUACACUUAUUAACAAUUCGUACUUUUUUCUUCCUUAAGAGGAAUUAAAGCAUUUCCUCAAUGAGAAAAA
rnacentral:sRNA from 1 species